GACGAACGCUGGCGGCGUGCUUAACACAUGCAAGUCGAACGAUGAAGCCGGAGCUUGCUCUGGUGAAUUAGUGGCGAACGGGUGAGUAACACGUGAGUAACCUGCCCUUGACUCUGGGAUAACUGCUAGAAAUGGUAGCUAAUACCGGAUACGACCCUCGGAGGCAUCUUCAGGGGGUGGAAAGAAUUUCGGUCAAGGAUGGACUCGCGGCCUAUCAGCUAGUUGGUGAGGUAACGGCUAACCAAGGCGACGACGGGUAGCCGGCCUGGGAGGGUCACCGGCCACACUGGGACUGAGACACGGCCCCGACUCCUACGGGAGGCAGCAGUGGGGAAUAUUGCACGAUGGGCGCAAGCCUGAUGCAGCAACGCCGCGUGAGGGAUGACGGCCUUCGGGUUGUAAACCUCUUUUAGUAGGGAAGAAGCGAAAGUGACGGUACCUGCAGAAAAAGCACCGGCUAACUACGUGCCAGCCGCCGCCGUAA
rnacentral:rRNA from 1 species